rnacentral:rRNA from 1 species
GACGAACGCUGGCGGCGUGCUUAACACAUGCAAGUCGAACGGUAAGGCCCUUCGGGGUACACGAGUGGCGAACGGGUGAGUAACACGUGGGUGAUCUGCCCUGCACUUCGGGAUAAGCCUGGGAAACUGGGUCUAAUACCGGAUAGGACUCCGGACUGCAUGGUCUGGGGUGGAAAGCUUUUGCGGUGUGGGAUGGGCCCGCGGCCUAUCAGCUUGUUGGUGGGGGGAUGGCCUACCAAGGCGACGACGGGUAGCCGGCCUGAGAGGGUGACCGGCCACCCUGGGACUGAGGUACGGCCCAGACUCCUACGGGAGGCAGCAGUGGGGAAUAUUGCACAAUGGGCGCGAGCCUGAUGCAGCGACGCCGCGUGAGGGAUGACGGCCUUCGGGUUGUAAACCUCUUUCAGCAUCGACGAAGCGAAAGUGACGGUAGGUGCAGAAGAAGGACCGGCCAACUACGUGCCAGCCGCCGCCGUAA